UUUGUACCUUGAGACAAACCUGUAUCGGAGGUCUACAGCCAAUUCCUUUGACGUCAUGCUUUGUUUGUGGUCUGACAUGCACUGUCAACUGUGGGACCUUAUAUGUAGACAGGUGUGUGCCUUUCCAAUUCAUGUCCAAUGAACUGAAUUUACCACAGGUGGAUUC